rnacentral:lncRNA from 1 species
CGGACAAGUGUUUUCAGCAGGCAUUCAAUGACACCAUGUGACUGUGUUAGUGACUCCAACCACAGGAGGCUCAUCUCCAUCUCUUUUGUCCUCUGUUCAGAGCUGCCCAGAAAUCCUUUAUCAGGAUUCGGCAUCCUCCAAUAGAGCCAUCCACAGUUGGAAUGGUCUACUCUGAUAGGUGGUGACCUCCCUGUCACUGGAGGCAUGCAAGCAUAGUCUGGGGAACCUGCAGGUUGUUAGAGGCCGGAGAGUCCAAGCAGCAAAUGCAAAAAGUCAAAUGGCUCAUUUGCAUGGUCACUUCCAGCUCGGAGCCUGGCUCAUCGUUGGUACGCAAAAAUAUUUAUCAAAUCAGCACUCAAGGGAUUGAGCUACUCGACCAGCAACCCAGUCACUCCCAGGCCAGGCCCACGACCUAACAGGCAAGCCAUUUCCUCCUCCUUCAACUGGCGGUGAGUCCGUCUUCCCUCCUCACUUCUUGGGGCUGUUC